rnacentral:rRNA from 1 species
CAUCAGACGUAAUCUGCCGCAAAAAUGUUGCGGUUUACCGCAUUAUUGGAUACCCUGGCGAAACGCCAGGCUAAUACAUGAAUCAAGAGGUGGUCUCCGUUCAAGGGCUGCACGGCUUGCCGUGUAGUCCUGUGAGGCCCCUUGCAGAUGAAUGAAAUUAAAACCAAUGCUUCGCAAGAAGCAGCAACACCUUAGCAGUGUUGAAUCAAUUCAUCUCACGCGAAAGCCGAUUUAUCGGCGUAUUUUGACGAACAACUGUUUCUAUCAGCCUUUGAUGGCCGUGUAGUGGACUGCCAUGGCGUUGACGGGAGCGGGGGAUUAGGGUUCGAUUCCGGAGAGGGAGCCUGAGAAAUGGCUACCACUUCUACGGAGGGCAGCAGGCGCGCAAAUUGCCCAAUGCCAAAACAAAUGAUGAGGCAGCGAAAAGAAAUAGGUGCCCGAAACCCUCUGGGUUUAGGGCUUUCAAUGGGGGAUAUCUAAACCCAUCCAACAUCGAGUAACAAUUGGAGGACAAGUCAGGUGCCAGCACCCGCGGUAAUUCCAGCUCCAAGAGCGUAUAUUAACGCUGUUGCUGUUAAAGGGUUCGUAGUUGAAUUGUGGAUUGUCGGGAUGUU